UUAGGAUAAAACGUGAGUAGUCAACUCUAUUUACGUGAUUAGUCAACUGAAAAUGACAAUAAAAGAGGGAGAACUAAACUAGCUAAUUACAGGAACCUAAGCACAUGGUUUCAGACCAUAGCAAGCACCUUCUGAAAUGAACUCUGAAAGCUUGCAACUUGGAAGUAAUUUACAAUUUCGGAAGAUAGGAACAUUUAAGUAAAAAACUUAGUUUAUUCGUUAUUUAAUUUCUGAGAAAAGAUGCCGACUAUUGUGAUCCCAUCCGAAAUUUCCUUGAUAAAACUGGCUGCCAAAAGAUAAUGCAGAAAUCGAAAUGCAAGACAAAACAAAAAUACACCACCUUUGUUCUGCUUCUUCAACUUCACCGCCUCAAAAUAUACAAACAAAAUGUGCAUAGCUGCAUUCCUGUGGCGAGCUCACCCGCUCUACCCUCUGCUUCUGCUUCACAACAGAGAUGAAUAUCACAAAAGGCAACGAUUCGAUCCUGCUUAGUCAAUUAGUUUUACCUUCUCUUUUUCUCCUGGUGAUCUGGUUUUUGUUUACUUUUGUGUUGGGGUUUAAGUUCAGGCCUACAUCAGCAGUUGAGUGGUGGACCGACAUCGAUAUAGUCGGAGGAAGAGAUGAGGUUGCCGGAGGGACAUGGAUGGCUUGUUCCAGAGGAGGCAGAGUGGUUUUCCUCACUAACGUUAUGGAGCUCCACGAGCGCCCUGAUGCCAAGUCCCGUGGGGAGCUCCCUCUUCUUUUCCUCCAGGUGAAUACAUCAUCUUUACUCGUUAGGCUGUGAGAGUUUCUCUACAAAGAGAGAUCAUGUAUGUUU
rnacentral:lncRNA from 1 species